CUUAGCUAAACUUCAACUCAACCUCUCCCAAUCCUCUAUUCUUCAUUUGUGACCCUUAGACCAUGCCAUUAUAUGCUUCUCUUGAGUCCUCAAGUGGUCCACCAAUGGUUUUUUGCUACUGUUGCUUAGGUACUACCUUAAUGGCCUUUAGGUAUUACCUUAGUGGCCUUCAGGUACUACCUAACUAAACUUCAACUCAACAUCUCCCAAGCCUCGGGUCUUCCUUUGUCACCCUUAGACCAUGCCAUUAUAUGCUUCUCUUGAGUCCUCAAGUGGUCCACCAAUGGUUUUUUGCUACUGUUGCUUAGGUACUACCUUAAUGGCCUUUAGGUACUACCUUAGUGGCCUUCAGGUACUACCUUAAGGGACCCUAGGUACUACCUUAGCUAAACUUCAACUCAACA
rnacentral:lncRNA from 1 species